GUCAGACUCCUACGGGAGGCAGCAGUCGGGAAUUUUGGGCAAUGGGCGAAAGCCUGACCCAGCAACGCCGCGUGAAGGAUGAAAUCCCUCGGGAUGUAAACUUCGCAAGAAUGGGAAGAAUAAGUGCGGGCUAAUACCACGCACGAUGACGGUACCAUUUGUAAGCUCCGGCUAACUCCGUGCCAGCAGCCGCGGUAAUACGGGGGGAGCAAGCGUUGUUCGGAUUUACUGGGCGUAAAGGGCGCGUAGGCGGCCACGACAAGUCACUUGUGAAAUCUCCGGGCUUAACUCGGAACGGUCAAGUGAUACUGUCGGGCUAGAGUGCAGAAGGGGCAACUGGAAUUCUCGGUGUAGCGGUGAAAUGCGUAGAUAUCGAGAGGAACACCUGCGGCGAAGGCGGGUUGCUGGGC
rnacentral:rRNA from 1 species